GCUGACUACCUCUGGCCCGAUCUCAAAAAACCCAGUUCGGAUAAGCGGUUCUCGAAGCCUCUCAGGCCCGAAAUCAUUGACUUAGACCACGACUUCGAGGCUGAUUUCCAGGAAUUCAAGGACGAGUCUGAUGUGGACGAAGAUGAUGAAAUGGUUGAGGCCAAGCCCUCUGCUUUCUCUGCUGGAAAGCCCUCUUCUGCUCGUGGUAAGCCUUACCUCUUAUCGUCGUUGUUUCUUGAGCAUUUACAUCAUUUGUGUGUUUGUUGUGUGUAUUGAUUGAUUCUGUGAUGCAUGUAUUGGGUUUUUGGUUUAAAGUCUGGUGAUUCAAUCUGUUGGAUUAUUUUGUUUCAUACGAAAAUUGAGUUGCUGAUUUUUCUGCUCAUGGAUUAGAUAGUAAUAUAUAUUUUUUUGUUUAUAAAUAUUUUCCGAUUUAAUUGAUGAAAUUUUGUGGCUUCAAAGUGACUGAAUGUUCUGAGUAAAUUUUGUUUUGAAUAAAAUUUCUAUUUAGUUUUGUUAUUGUUCUAUAGCAAACAGCUUUUUUUGCUUGUUAAAAAAAUUAUAGAUGUGUAAUUUUGAGUAUGUGUAAGCUGAUCGCUUUAGAAAAGAAGUUUGUUUUAAUAAUUUUUUUUUUUAAAAUUUGAUUAGGUAUUUGUUAGGUGGGUAGGGAAAGAUCUUGGUGACCUUGUAUGAUUUUGAUCAAUUACUUUUUGUUUAUUAAUUUUUAGGGAGGGGGAAAAUAGAAUUUUUAUGUAAGGAAUCAUCACUGUAGAUUUUCAUUGUUCUUAAAAUAAUAUUUGUAGGAAUUCUCAAUUUUUGUGAAUUAUCUCUAGCUAGUAAUGGAAUAAUAUUUGGUUUAUGGUCGAUUUUGCAAAUAAUCAAAUAUCAGGCUGGGAUCCAUAGUGAACUGGAAUUUCCAUAGUCAAAUCCGGAAUAUAUUUCUAUUGAUCCGUAGGAGAUGAUAUCUUCAUUUUUUCCUUCGAUAAUUUAUAUUUUUAUUUGUAAAAGUUACUAGUUGCUUGUUAUACCUUAUGUCCUGUCAAGUUAUUCUGCUUUUUAUGUCAUGUGAUGAUCAUGCUUGUAGCAUAUGAAGAGAUCACAGUUUCUUCUUGUCAAUAUCUUUGUCAUAUGCGAUAAUAUUAAGCUUUUUUCCUUUUUCAUAUUGUAUCAGAUCGCAUCUGGUAUAACUAUGAUCCAGGCGUUUGUUUUCAUUUUUUUCUUGGGGUCAUAGGUGAUGGAGUGAAGGUUUUUCUCUUUGAAUCCUUAUGGCUGUGUACCUAAACAUGUUCUGAAUCCUUUUGAUCAAUACAUGAGUUUUUUUUUUUCGUGUGAUUUACAUCGAAGAAGAUUAAUGAACUUCCUUAGUGUAUUUUUUCCUUGUCUUUGAUAUAUUUCUUCUUCCAAUUAUUGAAGGCUCUACGACUGUGAAAUUAGUGGAGUUCAAUGGGCAGGCUGAGAAAUCUGCAAAGAGAAAGAGGAAGAACCAGUACAGGGGAAUUCGCCAGCGCCCAUGGGGUAAGUGGGCUGCAGAGAUCCGAGACCCAAGGAAAGGGGUCCGGGUUUGGCUUGGAACUUUCAACACUGCAGAAGAAGCUGCAAGGGCUUAUGAUUCCGAGGCACGUAGAAUUCGUGGCAAGAAAGCCAAGGUUAAUUUCCCUGAUGAAACCCCACGAUCUUCUGCAAAGCGUUCUGUCAAGGCAAAUCCUCAGAAAAUGCUACCCAAGACAAACACGAAUGCCGUUCAGCCUAACCUGAACCAGAAUAUCAAUUUUGUGAAUGACCCAAAUCAGGACUACUACAAUGCUAUGGGUUUUCUGGAUGAAAAGCCAGCAACUAAUAACUUUGGGUUUAUGUCCACCUUCCCGGCCAAUGAGGAUGUUGCGCUGAAAUCCUCUACCCCAUCCGAUGCUGUCCCGCUGUAUUUCAGCUCUGAUCAGGGAAGCAAUUCUUUUGAUUGUUCUGACUUUGGCUGGGGAGAACAAGGUUCAAAGACUCCAGAAAUAUCAUCUGUUCUUUCAUGUGUUAUGGAAGAAAGUGAUGACUCACUGUUUCUGGAGGAUGCUAGCCCAACGAAGAAACUGAAGUCUAACCCAGAGGAUCUGGUGCCUGUUCAGGAUAAUGCAGGAAAGACACUGACUGAUGAGCUCUCAGCUUUUGAGAUGAAGUACUUUCAGACGCCAUAUCUUGAUGGGAGCUGGGAUGCUUCAGUGGACGCCUUCCUCAGCACAGAUGCAACUCAGGAUGGUGGCAACUCAGUGGACUUUUGGAGCUUCGAUGACCUGAUUGGGGGAGGUUUCUGAGCGAACUUUUCCCCAUACAUUCUAUUUUAUGUAAAUAAAGCUACAUGUUAGUGAGUUCAAUUCUGCGUCAGCUUCUACAUUGUUUAAUUUUCUGUUUCAUGUUCACUCUCAUUUUAUUCAGAAAGAGAUCCUGGUUGCUUUUUUACUUGUGGUUGCAGGAUGCUUUUCUCUGGGUUUGGAGUGCAAGCUGUUGAACAUGCAUAAGGCUUGUAUGGGGAGUAUUUUAAGCCGUAGCAAUGGUCUAUGGAGAGCAUAUAGGUAUUAGGUUUACUUUCGCCUCCAAAGACUUAGAAUUUGGGUUGCUGAACUUGAUGUUUGUAUUCAUGACAUUGUGUGAGUGAGCUAUGAUGGAUGAUACUGAAACCUGGUAAUUGUGAACUUCCG
rnacentral:lncRNA from 1 species